UACAGAGGGGGCAAGCGUUGUUCGGAAUUACUGGGCGUAAAGGGCGCGUAGGCGGCCUGCUAAGUCGAACGUGAAAUCCCUGGGCUCAACACAGGAACUGCGUCCGAUACUGGUUGGCUUGAAUCCGGGAGAGGGACGUGGAAUUCCAGGUGUAGCGGUGAAAUGCGUAGAUAUCUGGAGGAACACCGGUGGCGAAGGCGACGUCCUGGACCGGCAUUGACGCUGAGGCGCGAAAGCCAGGGGAGCAAACGGG
rnacentral:rRNA from 1 species